UGGGGAAUAUUGCACAAUGGGGGAAACCCUGAUGCAGCGACGCCGCGUGAAGGAAGAAGUAUUUCGGUAUGUAAACUUCUAUCAGCAGGGAAGAAAAUGACGGUACCCGACUAAGAAGCCCCGGCUAACUACGUGCCAGCAGCCGCGGUAAUACGUAGGGGGCAAGCGUUAUCCGGAUUUACUGGGUGUAAAGGGAGCGUAGACGGUAUGGUAAGUCUGAUGUGAAAACACGAGGCCCAACCGCGGGAGUGCAUUGGAAACUAUCAAACUAGAGUGCCGGAGAGGCAAGCGGAAUUCCUAGUGUAGCGGUGAAAUGCGUAGAUAUUAGGAGGAACACCAGUGGCGAAGGCGGCUUGCUGGACGGUGACUGACGUUGAGGCUCGAAAGCGUGGGGAGCAAA
rnacentral:rRNA from 1 species